UAAAAAACUUAUUAGCUUAAAUAGUUUGAUGGUAAAAUGAAAUAUUAAAUAGGAAAAAAAUUUUAGUGGUAAAGUGACAUGUCAACAAAUAUUAGUCGGUAAAAGUUUAAUAUCCUUUAAUUAAAAUACUCCCACCUUUACUGUAUAUAAUAUUUAGUCUGUGAUCUGCUUAGCUGAACUGCUUCCACCUAUGGAAAAUUUUAUGUCAAAUCAGACGGACAUUACCCCUCAGAUGAUAGGCAUUUGCCACUCUUGUCAGGUACACUUAAAAUUUGACCUAAUGGCGGAAACUCUCUAUCUUAUGGUCACGUUAUCAGUGAACUUGCUGAUCUGAUUCUUUGUACUCCUCUACAUGCAGGUGAAAGAUUUAAUAAGCAUCUCAGAGACAUACACAAGAGAUCACAUGCUUCGGAUGGUAUGCAUUCUCAAUGGGUUGAAUUUAUUUUGAUGGAUUGAAUUUCUUUUACCAGAAGGCAAUCGCUGUACUAGACACAAUAAGCAUUGGUGCAAGCAACCUGCUUUUUGCUCUUGCAGCCGCCUGCUUGAAUAUACUCUUUGUUUAACUAUUUAGAAACAUGCUAAAAUACACAUAGUAGUGAUAGUUUUACCAUGUGUCUUCGGUUCUGGUUUCGUUAACAUUAUGAUAAUUAGACUACCUUCUAAUGUUGGCCUUCCUUGAUCCUCAAUAUAUGAACUGGCUUUGUCUUUGCAGGAAAAGCUUAUGCUAAAAAAGCUUAAGUUUCGUCUAAACGUGCCUACUCCAUAUGCUUUUAUAUGUUAAGAUUUUUCAAGGCUGCUCAGUCGGAUACAAAGGUAUGCGGCAACUUUCAGAAUGUCUUACUACUGGAACUAGAAGAAACGGGAGAAUGCUCUAGGUUUGCAUGCUAAGUGAUAUUUGGCCUUUGUGGUAGCUUGAACAUUUGGCGUUCUACCUCAUCGAGUUAAGCUUGGUCCAAUAUGAAGCUUUAAAGUUCAAGCCCUCACUGUUAUGUGCAUCAGCAAUCUAUGUUGCACGGUGUACCUUGCAAAUGAGAUACACUUCAUAUAUUGUUGAUGCUGAAAUCUAGUCAAGCUGAUGAUGGCAACCAGAUUGUCUCGUCAAUGCUUUAAUUUGCUUUUGAUGAAACACAGUCUCUUGCUGCUAUUGUGAGAUUUGAGUUGUAUUGAUACUUUUUUUGAUCUGCAACAACAUAAAACUGUCAGGGGCGCCAGAUUUAAUUAGAGCAGUAGCUUUCUGCCAAUGCAUAUUUGCUAAGCCUAGUUUGACAGUAGUUGUUUGCCAAGGCUUGUAGAAAACUAAAAUGCUCGGAAAACUUUCAAAUUCAAACUGUUGUUGACUCAGAUUCAUCGACUGACAACUUGUCUAUCCUUCUAACAAAAAGCAACGACCAUUCUAUCUAAAGAAGAAAUUCUGGAGCAAGUGCUAUUCCUAGUCCCUCGUACUACACCAGCCAAUCAAAAGAUGCAACCAUAACAGUAGAACGCGACUUCUCCGUUUAACUGAAUACUCUUUGCAUAUGCAAGAUAAAUUGGCCGUUAUGGUUGUUACAAACAGCAGGAAUUUUCUUAUGGGUUCUGUCAAAAGCAGAAAACUUUAAAGUUGCAACAAUACUGGCUGCUGCUGUCUCAAAGAGUGUCAGCCAUAUGAUUUAGCAAGCAAUGGAAGAUUUGAAGCGAGUGAAGUGCCACCACAAAAGGGAUACUCCACAUUCAAAUAUCAGUGAUUGGCAGGCAUGAAGGGGCAAGGGAAGAAAAUAUACAAACUUUAUUUGAACUCAAAAGUCUUUUAACAUUCUGAUAGAGCAAACAAUUUCCACAAGCUCUCAAUGAUAAUUUAAAAAGAAAUUUUAGAACAAAAUUACGAGAUAUAAAUACCUCCAUUUCAUUUAGCAUCAAACAAUCAAAAGUACAUUGGUCUAAUUAAGCAUAAAACAAUCAUAGGUACAUCUGUCUAAAGGUUGACAAAAAUUCAACACAACUAGAAGCAUAACUCAUUCCAAAACGGCAACAUUAAACCGACAUGUUUUAUUGCUACAAGCAAUUCUUGGAAACUGCUACCUAGGUCCAAGUCUUCUCACUUUCUGUAUGUCCCCGUAAAGCUUAACCUGUCAUCAGAAUGAGAAGAAAACAUCAGAGCUGCAUUUACUGAAACUGGAUAAGCUCUGAAUGGACACAUGAUCUUGCUAUUCUAGAUAUUACUGGCCUACAAACCGAACCAGAACAAUUACAGCAGUAAAAGUUUAAAAAGACCCAGCUUUGAAAAUAAUUCCACCAAACAUGAAACACAAAUGACUUAGAUCACUUCAAAAAAUGUUUCAGUCUUUAAACAUUAUUUUAUACAUUCAAUUUCAAGGCUCAUUUGUAGGCCAAAAUAGAUAAACCCAACAGAAAACGCAAAUCUUAUUCAAAUAGCUGUUGAAAUGAAUUACCACUCAAUUAGAUUACCUAAGAUUAAUAUACAUCAAGCCCUUGAACAAAAUAUAAUUCUUGGUGAUCAUGAAUCAGCAAGUUCACAACAAAAAAAUAAAUUCACAUCAUACACUAGUCAAACCUUAAGAUGAUGAAACCAGUGCUUCAGUCUGGGUAUUUGAAACAGCAGCAGCAGCAGCAUUAUCCGCUGAGGGUGGUACAUAGAUACGUGCUUUCUUUAGAAUUUCGGCAACAGCCCAAUGCUUAUGCUUGCUUAACGGUCUAGAAGGAUCCAACCUAACCUGAAGCCACAAACUCAAAACGUAAACCCCAUAACAAUAGUAACUAUCAAUAAAACAGUUGAAAUGAUUGCAUAUCAAAUAGAAUCGGGAAAAAUGACUGAAACAAAUGAAAACACCCAUCAUUACUUAAGAGGCAUAAGAGUACUAACUCGGUCACCGAUGUUGCAUUGAUUGUUCUCGUCGUGGGCCAUGAAUUUGGAGGUUCGUUUGACAUACCGAUUGUAAACCUUGUGGUGAAAGAGUCUGUCAACGGCCACCACUACUGAUUUUUGCAUCUUGUUUGACACUACCAAUCCCACCACCGACUUCAUUUGUGACGGCCUGACGACGAUGCUAGGGUUUAGACCACGAGGAAACAAAAAUCAAAGUUAAAAAUGGAUAAGAGAGUAAAUCAAAAUGGUACCUGAUUACUAUGCUUCAACAGUGAUACUACAGUGACGGCAGAUGCUGACGGAGGUCGACGGCGCACGACAAUAACUUGUGGUGAGGCGGCGGCAGGGGUUCAGGGGGCGGUUAGUGUCUGAGUUGAGUGAAAUUGGAUUUCGUUUAUUGUUGCUUUAAACUCAUCGACUGUGUUUGUGACUGUUAUUCACAGUGAAUCGUCAGUAAUCAUGUGCCAAGUUUAACGUGAGUAAUCCGCAAAUAACUUAAUUGUUUUUCUCUAGGACACAAUUAACAAAAGCAAAGCACCAAAUUCUUUUUCUCUUAGACAGUUCAUCAAACACUUGGUGGGCAUACGUCCAUAAACACAUCCAUUCACAAUAUAAAGUAACAAAAUCUCAGUCAAGGCCUCAUAAUAACUUAAUCAAACAAAAUGCCACAUCUGAAAUUUCAUAAUUAAUUCAAAUUAAAGCAACAAAAUCUCAAAUAGCCCUCUUCAAACUCAUUCUCCAUCAUCUCAUAGGCUAAACUCAUUAAAUAACUACAACAGCCACACAAUAAUAAUUACAACAGCAAACAGUAACAAAUCAACAAUACCAUCAAAGUGAUAAGAGUGAAAAAAAACUAAAACAGAUGAAAAUAGGUGAAAAACCGUACCUAAGGUGAGAAACUUGAAGCUAAAAGGUUGGUACUUGCUAAGAUAGCUCUAGCGAACGGACCUACCGCCGUAGCUCACCGGCUAAAUAAAGCUUACUAUCGGAAGUUCAGAGAGAUUUUAAAUUUCAAGAUGAAAUAUGGUAAACAAAAAGAAUGCGUAAAUCAAAAUAGAAUUUAUUGAAAUAUUGAUUUUGUUUUCAAAUUUAAUAAAGAUAAUUUUGGGUUAGGUAAUAAUUAUAAAAAUAUUUAUUAAAUUGUAUUAAAUAAUAAAAUUAAUUAAAAUAUAAAAUUAUUUUUUAUUUUAAUUUUUUAUUAAAUAUUAAAUUUAAUUUUUAAAUUUUCAAAUCACUUUUAAACUUUUCAAAAACCAUUCAAACGAACUCUAAGAUAGUGUUUACUUUCUGGACUGGGAGUGUGGAGUGUGAAUUCCUCCCACUCCAGUGUUUACUUACUUUAAAAAAAGGGGAGUGGGAGUGGAAAUCCAUGGGUCCCACCUAAUUUUGGAGUGGGGAGUGGAUUCCCACUCCCACCUCUCCCCAUGGGAGUGGGAAUCCCACUCCCCCCUCUUCCCAUUUUAUCCUUAUAAAAAUAAAAUAAAUAAAUAAUAUCAUAUUUAAUAAAAUAAAUAAUAUCAUAUUUAUUAAAAAUAAUAAUUAUAUCAUAUUUAUUUUAUUAAAUUUAAUAAAAUAAAAAUAAAUAAAUAUUAUAUUUAAAUUAAUAAUAUUAAACAUUAAUUUUAAUAAAUAUUAAUUAUUUAUUUAAUAAUAAUAAAUAUUUUAUUCUAAAAAAAUAUUAAUUUUGUACUAUAUUAUCAAUAAUAAUAUUUCAUUUGUGUUGCUAUUAUUAAUAAUUUUUAUUCACAUAAUUUAAAUUAAAAUUAAUAAAAAAUUAUGAUUUACAUAAUUAAGAAUAUUAGUAAUUAUUAUUAAUUUAUAAAUAUAAUAAAAUAUUUAUUUUAUUUUCCAAAUAUAUUUUUUAUUAAUUUUUUAAUUACAAAUUAUAAUUCUGUAUAUAAGGAUAAAAUUGUAAUUUAAAAUAAUUUACUCCCAAUCCAAGACAAAGUAAACAAAUAAUUAGGAUUCUGAUUGACAAUCCAUACUUUUAUUUAGUCUAAGUAAACACCCUACUCUCACUCCCACUCCACACUCCUAAUCCAAGGAUUCCCACUCCUCAGAAUUCCCACUCUAAUCCAAAAAGUAAACGCAGCAUAAAUCCCAUUAUUAAUAGAAUCACAUUAAAGUUAACUCUUGGCCAUGAAAUUAAUUUUGUUUUAACCCCUCACAUGUUAAUUCCGCAGCAGCAAUUAUUAUUAUUAUUUAAAUAAAACUUUAAGAAAAUAAGAACCUUUUUUUGAGGAAAAAUGUAGAAAAAAGUACAUGAAGCCGGGAGAGGAGCAUGGUAAAAUUUCGUUGAUUAUUAGAUAAAACGUUAUAACUAAUUAAAUAUAUAUUUAAUAUAUUAUCAAUUCGAAUUAUUGGUCAAUUGAUCUCUUGUGUGAGUUUGCUUUGCUUCAUUUAAUUUAAUUCCUGAAACGACGUCGUGCAAGCUAAACUCAAUGCGGUCGUCAUUGUGCAUGUGCGGAGGAGGGUAUAAAGGUAAACUCACACAAAUUUGAAAACUAAAACCAAAGAGACAGAGAGAGGGAGAGGCGGUCUCGGCUCUUGAACUUAAAAAGAAUCAACAACACAACAAGCAACGGUAAACACAAAAUUCAAGAUCCUCUCCGCAGAAAUGGCUUCACUUAAGGUGCCCAUUUUUCAUAAAACCUUUUCUUUGCAAUUUCAUGCAUACAUACAUGAAAUUUUGAGUUAUCAAUCGAAUAAGUUUUGCUUGAUUUGAUCAUAUUAUUGUAUGUUUGCAUAAAGAUUUGAAGAAAGAAAAGAAUUAGGGUUUUUGGAAAUUAUAUAGUUGUUGAAGAGAAUCUGUGUCUUCGCAUUUUCUUAGAUUGAUGAUUGAGUGAUGAAUUCUGGUUUUCGUUGAGUAAAUUAAUUGAUAGAGUGAAGAACUCCGGUUUGGUGUGAAAAAAAUAAUAAUAAUAAGUCGGUUUUUGAUUACUUUAUUUAUUUUCAAAUGCUAUUAUUCUGAAUUUUAUUGUAUUCUAUUUUAAUUUUAGGUAACAUGACUUUGAGUAAUGUGAGGGUUCUCAAAAUGAAAGGAAAAAUUAUUACUUUCUCUCUUAUUUGAAUGCUUUUUCUUCUAGAUGUUGGAUCAGAAUCAAGGCUCGGUGUUGAAUCAAGGAAGAAUCAAAGUUGUGGCUGCAAAAGUAUGAAAAAAGCCUUUAACUUUGUGUUUUCUAUUCAUGUUUUCUUUUAUUAGUAUUUAGCACUUUUGCUAGACUUGUGUGUUUUUAAUAAAUUGCAGGGAAAAUUGAAAAUGGGUGUUAAUAGAGUUACUGAAGAUAGUCGCACACGGAGGAAUGGUAAGGGCUUUUGUAGUUUUAUUAAUUGAUUAUUUGGGAAUUCUAGAUUUGCAUGUGCAAUUCAUUUUUCUUCUUUUGCUUUGAGAUAGUGGGAGGCAGAAAUUUUAAGGUCUAUUCUGAAAAUGAAAUGGUGAAAGAAGAUUCCAAUACAAUGUAAGUUUAGAUUUGUGUUGGUUCUUUUAUGAAGUUCUAUUAUAACGUAUGCAUGAGUAAAUGUUCUCUUUCUCCUAUCUAGCAAAAAUCUAGCAUUUUGUUUGAAAACCAAACAGAGGACCAGGCUUUAAUUUCCUAGCAUAUUUGAUAUUGUAGAAAGAAUUCAGUACCAGUUAAAAAUGGAGCUGCUCUGGCCAGUGCGAGCAAUGCAAAGGUUUUUACCUCUCCAUUCCUUUGUUUUUAGUGCUCUUUAAACUUCAUGUGGGUGGGAAUAAAAUUGUUAUGUAAAUAUUUCAAUAUUCAAUACCUUUUUGAAUCUACUGUUGAAGUUGUUUGCGUGAUUUAUUAUGAAGGGGAUAGUGAACAAGAUGGAGAACAACAAAGGCAAGGACGCCAAUACUGGUGAGGUUUAACUGUCGUUUAUUUUGUAACUCAGACAUAAGUAGCAUGUUUUUAAAGCUCUCCUUAUAGUUAAUUGGUCUUUUUCAGCUAGUUCAAAAGUUGGAAGAAAAGCAUUGGUUGAUGUCAGCAAUAUUAAGGGCAACGUUCCAAGGAGUGUAGUGCAUGAUGGCUCUAAAUCAUUGUGGGUGAUUUUCCAUUUUGCCAUUGCUUGCCUCAUCUCAAACUGACUUUCUAAGAUGCUGCUUGUUGCCCAUUAAUCCAUUUAAGGCAUUCGUGAUACUUUAUAUAUUUAAUUCACAAAUAUGUUGGCUCCCUGGUGUACCAUUGAAUCCCGAAGCUGUAGUUCUGAAGUUUCUUGUGUUUUUAAAUGCAGAAAGGGUGAGAGAAGUGCAAUUUUGCAGCAGUAAGUGUUUUUAAAUACAAUUUUGUUAUCUCCAUUUUAAUAAUUAUUUUUUAAAGAGGUUUGUGAAAUGAUAGAGGCCGGAGUUUGACAGUUAUCCAGAUUGUUUUAGAUGGUUUGAUAGGGGAUCAAUUGGACUCUCAAAUGUGUUUUGGGGAAUUAGAACUGUUCAAGAAAAUACAUAUCUGUUCCUCGUGUUUGUUUUGUUUUGUUUUGUUUAAGCAAUUCAUGGUAUCCUUUUGUUGGAUUGUUAUUCAAAAGAAAUCAGUUUGCAUAUCGGCGGAAUUUUAUAUGCUAUUUAUGUGCAUGAUUGUGUUUGUUUGUUUUUGCACAUGUGGUACCAUGUGUUUAUGUUACUGCAAUUUCAUGGUUUCCUAUUUGUCUUCAAUAUGCACCACAAUCAAUGAUUAAACGUUACAAAAGAGGUAAUAGCUUUACAUGAUGAGAAACUUAAAAUAUAUUAUUUACACUUGUUAUGAAUCUAAGUUUGAUGGAGGCGGCUAGCCUCUCUCUCUCUCUCAAAUCUUUAGAUGAAAAGAAAUUUUUUCUCAUCCAAAGUAAAUGGGUAUCAAGAAUUUCAAUCGGGUGAUGAACAAUAUAUAAAAACAAUUAUUAUUCUUCUCUCUUUGUUCAUGUCCUUGUAUUUUUGGUUUUUUCCAGUAAGAUAAUGAGUUUCUGUUAUUAAUCAUGUCAUUUUAAAUUGUUAUCUUUAUAGGGUUUCAGUGGGUUCAGGUGUAAGGACUGUGAAUGUCUCCUCAAGAAAAUCUUUCACGGUAUGCAAAUAAAGACCAAUACAACUAUUAUCAUGUGACCUUUUAGCAUCCUUCUAAAUUCUGUUGCUUUCUUCUGCUGUCUUUGUUCUUCUACCUUGUUAUUGACUAAACAAAUGAAAAAAAAGAAUCAUCCAGUAACAUUUUUCACCGUAGUAUUGCUGUUCCAAAUGCAUGUAGUCACUUUAUUAAAUAGCUACUGAUACCUGGUUUUGUAGUUGAGCGUACCUCUUCCUGAAUCCUUGAAACGUUGAGGGCUCAACACCGUGUAAAUGGAGGGACAUUUAAUUUUCUCAUUACAACUGCUUAAUAUCUAACAUAUGGGAAAAAUGGAUUUCAACCCACUUAAAGUGCUGAUUUUUCAAGGCGGAAAGUAAUGCUUGCACGUAACCUUCAUCUAAGCUAAUGAUCUUUAAACUUCCUAUGGAAGGAUUUUUCUCUUUAGUUCCUUCUCUUUUUCUUGUAUUAACCUGGCUUUUUCUUUCUUUCUUUCUUUUUCUUUUAUUUAUUUAUUUUUUUUAUUUUGUGAGUAGGGAAGAGUGAGGAAGAAUAUAAGUCAAGAUGUUGGUGCUAUCCAUACAUCAAAGAAAGGUAACUUCCAGUUCAGAAAUUUUACUUUUGCUAUUUUCUUGGCUGAGCAUUGCAUUAUAGGUAUUUUUUGUCUUGAAGAUAAUGCAGAUGUCAAAGGUUCAAAGUCAUCCUUAAAUGAUAAACAUACCAAGACCAAAGAUAUGGGCCGUGAAUCUGUUGUCACUGCCAACAGGUAUGAAGUUUGUUAUGUUUGUUCAGUUUAUUGUGCUACCCUCUUGUCUUGUUCUCUCCAUCAUAGCUCUGAAGGUAUUCCUGAUUGUAUUUGCUUUUAUAUAUUAGGAUGUCAAGGAAUCCUCCUGUACCAACAAGGUUUGUUGAUCUGCAAAAUAGUCUCAUUUUUUUUUUUUUUUUGUUUAAAUUACAUUGGGCUGUUGAUGAUUUUUCUACUGUUACAAUUGAAGGAAGUCCUUACCAGUGUUUAAGAGGGUGAACCAGUCUAUUACAAGUACUUCAAAGGUUAUAAUUUUCUCUCUCUACCAAUUGGGAGGAUGGUUUACAUAUAUCUGUCCUAAUUUAACCAAUUUCUUAUCCCUUCUUGAGGACUCUUCAGAUCUUUAGUAACUCCUACUUUAUUUUCUGUUUCUGAAAAACCUAGAAGUAAUAGAUAGCAAAAGAAUAUCGCUUGUGUUUAUUAACAGGAGCCAUAUGUUGGUGCAAUUGCAAUCAUCAGUUGUAGUUCCGUUUUAUUGUUUUUCUAGCUUCAGUAAUACAAGUUCCUUUCAUCUUUUGAGAUCCAGCCAAUUGUGAAGACAGCAAUACUGGCUUCCAAUGCUCGAGGGACUUCAAAAUCCAAGUGUUUGUCAAGUUUGAAGAAAUCAAAAUCUAUUGCUGCAACAUCAACUAAGAAGAAAAAGGAUGUUGUGAGGUCUUCUCCUCUGGAGAAUAUUGCAUCAGUGGUUUCGCAUGAAGCCAUUCAAGGAAAGCCUUCAAUUGAUGGCAACACCAAUUCAAGUACAAAUUCUUCUGAUAUUAUUUCCAAGAAGAAAUCUGAUCGCAGGAGAUCUUAUACAUCCUUAUUGAUGGCUAAAUCAAAGGUAGGUUGGGGCAUGUUCUUAUCUAUUCUAUAAAUGUUGUCCUUCUCAUCUUGUUGAGUUCAAUAUAAUUGGCAUGAUUUUGUAGCUGAUAGAUGAAAAUGGUGAAGUCAAAAUGGAAAAUCUACCCGGUAUUGAUGAUGACUGCAAUCAACUGGAAGUUGCUGAAUAUGUUGAUGAAAUCUAUCAUUAUUAUUGGGUUAUGGAGGUGAUUAUUCACUUUUUUUUUCUCUUCAUUGUUUUGAUGAUUAAUGUGUUGCCUAUGUAUGCCUACUCACUACUUGAUCAGAAUAUAAGAAGCAUUUGAUUACAUUAUUAGCUUUUCUACAAAGAUCUAAAGUAUUUCAAAUGAGAGAAUUCACUAACUAUUUGAUCAGAAUGUAACGAGAAGCAUUUGAUUUCGUUAUUAGCUUUUCUACAAAGAUCUGAAGUAUUUUAAAUGAGAGAAUUAUUUAUCUUGACUAUUUAUAUUGUGUGGGCUUUUAUCAUUCCAUGGAUUAAACUGUCUGCUUCUGCUAUCUUGUAACGUGUAGCUGUUUUUAUUUAGAAUUUGAUAUAUGAAUACUUUUUUUUUUAGUUUACUUAUCUCCUUAUUCUUUAAUUAAAUGGAUAUUAUUAUUUUACUACCUAAAAUUUUUUAACAUAUCACUUUACCUCAAAAUUUUCUGACAAUUGCCUUUUCCCACUUAAUAUUUCAGUUUUUAUCAUUUUACCACUAAAUCAUUAAUUUCAUUAAUAAAUUGCUGAUGUGAUGACAAUAUUUUAUUAAUUUCAGUAUAUUCAGUAUUUUAGAAAUUUCACAAGGUAUAAUAUUUACAAUUUUAUCAGUUAAUUAUUAUAGAUAUUUAAAAUAAUCAAUUGUUAAAAGUACUAUUCUUUUUAUAUAAUAAUUUUUUAUUUUUUUAAUUUAGAGGGUUAAAUUAUACUUACACAGUUUAAGGGUAAAAUAAACAUUUAUUAUAAUUUCUGUUAAAAAAUUUAUUAACUUAAAUGGUUUGGUGGUAAAAUGAAACAUUAAGUAGGAAAAAAACAAUUGUUAGAAAACUUCGAUAGUAAAAUGAUAUGUCAAAAAAUGUUAGGUAAUAAAAUUAUAAUAUACUUUAACCAAAAUACUCCUACCUGUACCUUAUAUAAUAUUUAGUCUGUGAUCUGCUUAGCUGAACUGCUUCCACUGCAGGCACAGAAUCCACCUCUGGAAAAUUAUAUGUCAAGUCAGACGGACAUUACCCCUCAGAUGCGAGGCAUUUUGAUCAACUGGCUAAUUGAAGUAAACAUCCAUCUUUCCAAAUGAAUUUCCUUUUCUCUUUCUUUUUCCUUUUCUAAACUAAGUCCUUUGCCACUGGUCAGGUACACUUGAAAUUUGACCUAAUGCCAGAAACUCUCUAUCUUAUGGUCAUUUUGUUAGACCGUUAUCUCUCUGAAGUUAAAAUCAAGAAGAAUGAAAUGCAGUUAGUUGGUCUUACUUCCCUUCUCCUGGCAUCAAAAUAUGAGGACUUCUGGCAUCCUAGGGUAAAUAUAAACAUGUCAAGUUCACGCAAUGUUUCUUCUAGCACUUCAAUAAGUUAUCAGUGAACUUGCUGAUCUGAUUCUUUGUACUCCUCUACAUGCAGGUGAAAGAUUUAAUAAGCAUCUCAGAGACAUACACAAGAGAUCACAUGCUUCGGAUGGUAUGCAUUCUCAAUGGGUUGAAUUUAUUUUGAUAGAUUGAAUUUCUUUUAGCAGAAGGCAAUCGCUGUACUAGACACAAUAAGUAUUGGUGCAAGCAACCUGCUUUUUGCUCUUGCAGCCGUCUGCUUGAAUAUACUCUUUGUUUAACUAUUUAGAAACAUGCUAAAAUACACAUAGUAGUGAUAGUUUUACCAUGUGUCUUUGGUUCUGGUUUCGUUAACAUUAUGAUAAUUGGACUACCUUCCAAUGUUGGCCUUCCUUGAUCCUCAAUAUAUGAACUGGCUUUGUCUUCACAGGAAAAGCUUAUGCUAAAAAAGCUGAAGUUUCGUCUAAAUG
rnacentral:lncRNA from 1 species